rnacentral:rRNA from 1 species
CCUACGGGAGGCAGCAGUGAGGAAUAUUGGUCAAUGGGAGAGAUCCUGAACCAGCCAAGCCGCGUGAGGGAAGACGGCCCUAUGGGUUGUAAACCUCUUUUGUCGGAGAACAAAACCCGGGACGUGUCCCGGACUGCGUGUAUCCGAAGAAAAAGCAUCGGCUAACUCCGUGCCAGCAGCCGCGGUAAUACGUAGGUGGCAAGCGUUAUCCGGAUUUACUGGGUGUAAAGGGCGUGUAGGCGGUGACGCAAGUCAGAUGUGAAAACCACGGGCUCAACCUGUUGCCUGCAUUUGAAAAUGUGUUUCUUGAGUACUGGAGAGGCAGACGGAAUUCCUAGUGUAGCGGUGAAAUGCGUAGAUAUUAGGAGGAACACCAGUGGCGAAGGCGGUCUGCUGGACAGCAACUGACGCUGAGGCGCGAAAGCGUGGGGAGCAAACAGGAUUAGAUACCCCUGUAGUC